GACGAACGCUGGCGGCGUGCUUAACACAUGCAAGUCGAACGGAAAGGCCCCUUUGGGGGUACUCGAGUGGCGACCGGGUGCGUAACACGUGAGUAACCUUCCCUUGACUUCGGGAUAACUUCAGGAAACUGGGGCUAAUACCGGAUAGGAAUCCUUUCUGCAUGGUGGGGGUUGGAAAGCUUCGGCGGUUUUGGAUGGACUUGCGGCGUAUCUGCUUGUUGCUGGGGUUGUGGCUUACCAAGGCUUUUACGGGUAGCCGGCCUGAGAGGGCGACCGGCGACAUUGGGACUGAGAUACGGCCCAGACACCUACGGGAGGCAGCAGUGGGGAAUAUUGCACAAUGGGCGGAAGCCUGAUGCAGCAACGCCGCGUGCGGGAUGACGGCCUUCGGGUUGUAAACCGCUUUCAGCAGGGGCGAAGCUUGUGGUGACGGUACCUGCAGAAGAAGCACCGGCUAACUACGUG
rnacentral:rRNA from 1 species